rnacentral:rRNA from 1 species
AUGCACGCUGGCGGCGUGCUUCACCCAUGCAAGUCGAACGAGAAGUGGAGACGGAAACCUUCGGGCGGAAGACUUUAUUUCGAGUGGCGGACGGGUGAGUAACGCGUGGGUAACCUGCCUCAUACAGGGGGAUAACAGUUGGAAACGACUGUUAAUACCGCAUAAGACCACAGCACCGCAUGGUGCGGGGGUAAAAACUCCGGUGGUAUGAGAUGGACCCGCGUUCGAUUAGCCAGUUGGCGGGGUAACGGCCCACCAAAGCGACGAUCGAUAGCCGAUCUGAGAGGAUGACCGGCCACAUUGGGACUGAGACACGGCCCAAACUCCUACGGGAGGCAGCAGUGGGGAAUAUUGCACAAUGGGGGAAACCCUGAUGCAGCGACGCCGCGUGAGUGAAGAAGUAUUUCGGUAUGUAAAGCUCUAUCAGCAGGGAAGAAAAUGACGGUACCUGAGUAAGAAGCCCCGGCUAACUACGUG